rnacentral:lncRNA from 1 species
CCCACUCCCCCUUUCAAAAACGCGAAUCACGCGACUGUGAAAUGCAAUGCUCUGUGGAGAGUUUUAAGAAUUGAAAACAAAACAUCUUUCAUGGAGGAAUGCUGCUUUAAAGGUAAGAGAUGACUCAAAGGAUGACACAUACUUACUGCCUGCUGAGGAACUCCAAGGGGAACCCUGACCGAGGAACUCGCUGCAUACCGAAGUGCGCCAAACUGCUCUCAUAGCAUCGCCUGUGCAAAACAUGUUCCACAUCACAGGGUAACCUUAAGGGAAAUAGCUUUGAACAUCCAGAAUUAGACAUUGCUAUUAGACAUUACAAGAGGAGAGAUUCUGGCUUUUAAUGUUGCUUCCAUCCUGGGACUGGUUUGUACAGGAAGGAAUGUCAUUUUUGUUUGCAUUCCUUACUGAGAAGAUGUCAGCGCUAUCCACUGAUAGCACAUUUUUUCCUCUCAAGUGUGUGUCGGCCUUCACUGAAUGCCAGACAAAACUUCAGAGAACAUACAGGACACAUAGGAAGCAUCUGGCCAGCUACUGCCUGUCAGCUCUCUAGGCUGCAAGAUCUUGAUCAAGUUCAUCUUCAUAGGAAAACAUUAAAAAUUUGAGAGCAAUAUAUAAUUUGUGAUUGAAGAGAUCAACUCGCUCUACAUGUCGAUCAGGAAACCCCUAUCUGUGCAACUUGGUCGCACGCAGGAUAAGCUCUGCAGCGGCUAUCUUAAUGGAAACAAAAGAAAGCGGAGCUUCACUCCAGGAAAUCAAUCCAUGUUUGUUCCAUAAAAAAUGGAACAAUUUUUAAUAGCAGCAGUUUUAAACAUAUGACCUGCUGACAGACAACACUGUGGUCACUGAUCAGUGCUCUUCUCCAUACACACCCCUGUAAGAAAGAAGGCUGAAACAAAGGUACCGACUGUUCCAAAAUCAAAGUGUACCCAUUCAUUUACACAUCACACUGGAGCCAAAAGUUGUGCCUUAUUUGACAGCGUCAGAAAAGAGAAACUUAGGAAAAAAAAAAAAAAAAAGGAAAAAGCCUUACAAAAAUGCCAAUUUAUCAGACUGCCAAGGGAUAAAACCUUGUCAUAUAUCUUUCAUGCACUACAUACAGGCUUCUGUAGCCUCUUCCUCCCUUCCUCGGAUCUCCAAGCUGUUUGCAAACAUAAAUGAAUGAAACCCCUCACCUCCCAUGAAGUAGGUGAUUUGUUUCUAUUAAUACAUAAAUGAAAGAGGAAAUUAAUUAAGGAGCAGAAAGAGCAAGAAGCCCAAGAUCACACAGGGAGAGCACUGUAAUCACUACGUUCUGUCCACUUAAGAGUAGCACUUACACGUUAAUGCCUUCCUGCUCUCCAUCAAGCUCUUGCAAUGAACCGUGCUUCCCAGACUCCUCCAGUCCCAGCUAGCUUCGUGGCUUGGUUUCCCUUCAGGGACGUGGAGUUUUUCCUUCACAUUCACACCAUCGCACCUCUGCCCCCACAUUUAAUUAUUAUUUAUGUUGAAUAUAAAUAGCAAAGGAGAUGAUCCUAAGAUGAAUAAUGAAGAAGCAACAAGAGACAAGAAAACUGCUCGCGUCAGCUGGUAUCCUACCUGCUUUGUAUUAAAUACAUCUCAGCACUGGGUCUCUGCAUACCAGAGGAGGAAGGCCAUGGAAAGCAAAGAGAAGACCAACCAGAAGUCUACAACCCUCACAGAGAACAAACGGCACCCAUGUCCCUCAAACAGUACAGUAUUGUGCAGCCAACAUGAAGCUUACUAGCACAGAUAUUUGGCAAUGGAGAAGCCUGAUGGUUUUUUGACCACAGCUGGAUGAGGAUGAGCUCUGAUCACCCAGUCUGACUCCCAGGACUGAGCCAUUCCACCAGGUCCCAGCCUGCUCAAAGAAGCCUUGAUUUAAAGUUUCUCAAAGCAGCAAAUCCAAUGGGACUCAAAGACUUUGUAAGGAUAAACCACCCUCCUCCUUCACAUCUCCCCACAAAAAGGUCAUUACUCUUUUGGCUCUUCUCUCUCAUUACAAAAACAAAGCAACUGAGCUUUGUUUUGAGCAACAAACCAAGUAAUACCUUGCUGUACAAAUAUUUCAUUUUCAGCAGAAAAAUUUUUUCAGUGUAUUUAUGAAGAAAGCAUUCUUGCUGUAACAGAACACCAUGUUCUGGCAGAGACGUCCCAGGCACAACUGAGAAAGCCAUCUCCCUGAUGAGGGAUCAGAAGAUCAAAGUUGUGUUUUAUUAGUUAUAUAAAAAGUAUCUUUAGCUCUCCGUUGAAAGGAAAAAUUUGCAUUUAAAUAGAAAGAUUAAUAACUGUAAUACACAGAGCCCACACUGAAUAAUUUUUUGUAACAUAAAAUAAUUCAUAUUGUUUUAUAUAAACUGUGCACCUUAAGUCAAGCCACAAAAAAUGAUAAUCGUAAUAUUUUAUGGAACAAUUUUAAUAUAAUACAGCUUUGUUACAUUAUUAUUCUCCAUUGUAAAUAAUGCAUGUCUGGAGGUUUGGGAAAGACUGGAUUUAAAAUACUUAUCUCUGAAAAUUCAAUAGGGCGUGUGCUUUUUGGUGUGUUUACACUAUGCAUGAGUUUUAC